UAGGCUGUUCCCCGAGGCCGGCUGAAAUGGAAUUGGCUGGGGGGCCCGGGGCUGGCCCCUCAGCCCGUUUCCCUGAAAAGGGGGGGUGAAAGGAUUUGUGGUACUGUAAAAAGGAUUUGUUGGAUUGUUACGGCACUCUUUGGCCCAGUGCCGCCCCUUAUGGCAGCGAGGGCAAAUACCGGGGACUGACCCAACUCUAGGAGGAGGAGCUGUGGUAGGGCAUUGGCGAGUGAAAUGGCCUGGCUGUCCACAUUUAAAGCAGUUACGCAUAGGCGGUGCGCCCUUGGGGAAGGAAGGAGGAUAAGAAGCCGGGGGAGUUUGAACAGCGGCACCUACAGCUAAAAGGGCUUGGACUUUGGAUGUAAAAGGAUCGACAUCUCUACACAUUCUCAGCAUUUCAUCAAGAGUUUUGUCUCGAGUCUUACCGCGGAGGACGGCUCGACAUGCCGAAUUGGCGUUUUCAUAGGCUAGCUGUUUUACAAUCUUAUCAUUGGCAGCCGCGGAACCAAGGGUCCUUUCGGCGGCCUCUAACAGUCUGCUAACAAAUUCGCUAUAGUCUUCUUGCGAGCUUUGAGUGAUCUUAGUUAGAGGAGUGUUAGCAGUCCUGGAAGCAGGGAGUGAUAUCCAAGCGCCCAAAGCGGCAUCUUUCACUUGAGAUAAAAGACCAAGGGGAAGGCGCUGCUGCCUGGUUUCAGAGAUAUAUCUGCCCUGUCCCGUAAGCUUAUCAAAAGUCUAGGACGCUGUUGGGGAAUGAGGGUCUUUUACAUUGGCAGCAGCGAUGGUCUGACAGCGGUCAGCAAAAUCUGCCUUCCAAGUUAAAAACUGACCACGGGUAAGCACAGCCUGGACUAUACGCAGCCAUUCACCUGGGAGUAAAUGUCCUCUUCGAGACAGCGAAUCAAGAACAGAAAGGCAGGGGCGUCUUCGCCGUCGCUUUCAAGAUCGCCCUCUUCCGGACUAUGUGUUGUGGAGGUGGGGCCAGAGCGGGCGGAGGCCCGGGAUGAAUUUCGGGGCCAUUAAUGAUAAACCACGGACAGACUUCAUCAACAAAAAUAAAAAACUUUACCAAGUCUUUCUUUUUAACUCGAA